AACUUGUACUGCCAUGUAGCGAUUUCGAUAGACGACGCCUUCAAGGGAGGAGGAGUCUACAACAUAUUGAAUUUAUCGAUCGAUUGUUAGGCCGAUUUCGAUCAGCAUUGUAUAGUUAAUGAAUGACAACUUGACGAGAUCUUGACACGCACGUUGGAAGUGUACGCGUGUUUGCACCUCGAUGAGCGUUGCACAAUAACAAAGCUCCGUUGGUGAGCGUAUUGAUUAAUAAAGCUAGGUGAAGUCCUUGAGUGCCUCAAGGACUUUGUUUUGUUUUAGCAGUAUUUUUUCCUUCAACAAUUAAUCUUGCAUCUCCAACCGUGGAAUGAGUUACAUGUGACUCGAGACAAACAAACAGUGCAAUUGCAACAAUAUAAUUAGUCAGCGAUAUAAAUUUGCCAUAUCUUCAUGCCAACCACAAGGAUUCUGAUUUGCACACACCUUCAUUAUUAAUGCGUUUCUUCAGGUAUGGUCACUAUCAGCAGCUUAACACACUGUGUUCAUCGUGAAUACAUCAAUCCCAGAGAAAACAUUCCAAUGGAAAAUAUUGAGAAUUUCUGCCCUUCUAUCCUGAACUAAACAAUGCUGGUUUGUAUAAAUAGGCAUAAAAAAACCUAUCAACAGUAUUUUUAGUUUGCAGUUUGCUUUAACAUACAACUCUAUGGCAUGUUGAUAUUGUCGCGGGUGAAAAGGCAGAUUGGUUAUCUCU
rnacentral:lncRNA from 1 species